UUCUUGUGUCUUCUCUAUUGAACGCGCUCUGAAAACACGGAAUACCGUUUACCGCUAUUAUUAUAACUUUUUUUUUACUACCACAGAAGAGGCAAUACACCUCAUAGAGAAAUAUACAGGGCAACACAUAAACGGAAAAGGGAAACCUUCUUCAAUAAGAACAUAAAAUGUUCUUAUUCAAGUUACCAGAUGAUGUGCUCUACCACAUCAUGUCAAAUUUGGAAUACAAGUCUUUGAGUCGCCUUUCUCAAGUUUGCAAAACUGUUUACCAUUUUGCUAAUCGGGACGCAGUAAGGAGGAAGAUAGAGAAAGAGUUCAUAAACACUGGAAUGUCAUGACAAGAAGCGCAUGUGUAUCUCCACAUCCCGCUGAAGGACAGAGUGAAGGUAUCUCAGAACUGGAGCCAUGGGAUCUGCAGAAAGGAAGUCACGCUCAAAUGGAGGAUUAACUUGUUGCCAUGGAUACAGCCUCGAUGGGGAUGUGCUGUAUCUGUCUCAGGCUGCAGACAUCGGAGUGUGCACCUCGUUAGUGGAGGAAGAGAUGGUAAGAUCCUGGUGCACCACAGGAGGAAUGGAUUCUCUGUAGAGUACUCAGGUCACAAGCAGGAGGUGAACUGCCCGGGCUGCAUAGGAGGACUGAUGGUCUGCGGCUCCAGAGACAGAAAAGCCCGGAUUUGGACAUUGUCUUCCAACUGCCCCGGAGGCACUAUCCCCAUGAAUGACAAGGUGUGGUCUGUGGCUAUUAGUCCCACAUAGAGGUGUGAGUUGCUGUGUUGUCGAGGUUCAGAGUCCCAGAGGGAAGCAGGUGUGGUGGAUAUAGUAUAUGAGUCGCCCUUCCAGCAGCUCACCUGUGGCUACGACGCCUAUAUCCGCUCUUGGGACCUCCGCCUCAGCCCCAGGAAGUGUGUCAUGGAGUGGGAGGAGCCUCACGACAGUGCCCUCUACUGCAUCCAGAUGGACGGGAAUCACAUGAUUGCCAGUGGCUCCUCCUACGACGGCGUCAUGCAGAUGUGGGAUAAGUGGCAGACCUGCUGCGUAGAGAUGUUGCAGUUAUCCUCCGCUGUGAGCAGCCCAGUGUGGUCACCUGAUGCAGCACUCCAUCACUCUUCGUCUUGGUCAAAUAGCCCUUACACAGCCUGGAGGUGUGUUGGGUGAUUGUCCUGUUGAAAAACA